UAUUGGAUCUAUAUACCGUGCAUGUGUUGCGGCAUUGACCCCAUUGAUUUCACUAUCAAUGCGCGCGUCUUUCGCUUAGCUCACUGCGCUUUAGAUCCUGAAAGCAACGAACGUGACCGCAACCUCUUGUUGCUUUCAUACCCAAUGCUUGUUAUAUACUCGUGUAUAUCGCGCAUAAGAAAGCUUAUACAUGCAUUGCUACGGCAUUACAUCACAAACUAGAGGGACCGCUGUUACUUUCUUAAACCAGAGGAAGGUUGCGGCAAUAACAGGUCUGUGAUGCCCUUAGAUGUUCCGGGCUGCACACGUGCUACAAUGAUUAUUGCAGUGAGCAUCUCAUUUUUUAAUACACCGCAUGCGCCAGUCUAUUUGUCUGCUCUGCUUCGGCUAGCUGCUCAAAUACGAUCUCUGCGCGCGGUAAAGCCUACUUCGAAAGUAAGGGGGUAAUCAAUUAGAAGGAAUGAUUUCCUAUUUUCUCUGCACACAUAUAUGCGGCACAUCUACCCGGCAUGCCUUGGUGCAUGUUCUUUGUGCGUAGAUGUGUACCCUUUUUCCGCAUUGCCAUUGUCAAUUCAUGGUGGGGA
rnacentral:rRNA from 1 species